rnacentral:rRNA from 1 species
UACGUAGGGGGCAAGCGUUGUCCGGAUUUACUGGGCGUAAAGGGCUCGUAGGCGGCCAACUAAGUCAGACGUGAAAUCCCUCGGCUUAACCGGGGAACUGCAUCUGAUACUGGAUGGCUUGAGUUCGGGAGAGGGAUGCGGAAUUCCAGGUGUAGCGGUGAAAUGCGUAGAUAUCGGGAGGAACACCAGUGGCGAAGGCGGCUUUCUGGUCUGUUCUUGACGCUGAGGCGCGAAAGCUAGGGUAGCAAACGGG